rnacentral:rRNA from 1 species
CAUGUCCUUUUGAUUAUGAUUUAAGGUCUAAUCUGCUCAAUGAGAUUUAAAUGGCCGCAGUAUUUUAACUGUGCAAAGGUAGCAUAAUAAUUAGCUUCUUGAUUAGGGGCUUGUAUGAAUGAUUGGACGAGAAAAUUACUGUCUCUUGUUAAGUGUUUACUUAAUUUUAUUUUUAAGUUAAAAAGCUUAAAUUAUUUUAAAAGACGAGAAGACCCUAUAGAGUUUUAUAAUUUAAGCUUAUUGGUUUUUAGUAAUUACUUUAAGUUGAAUUAUUUAGUUGGGGUGACUUAAAGAUUAAAUUAAUUCUUUAAUUUGAUGUUGAUGAUUUUCAAAUUCUGUAUCUAGUUUUUUAAAUAAAAAAUUAAUUACCUUAGGGAUAACAGCGUAAUUUUUCUUGACAGCUCAAAUUGAAAGAAGACUUUGCGACCUCGAUGUUGGAUUAAAAUUAAUUUUUGGUGCAGUAACUUAAAAAUUAGGUCUGUUCGACCUUUAAAAUUUUACAUGAUCUGAGUUUAGACCGGCGUAAGCCAGGUUGGAUUCUAUCUUUAAAUAUAGAAAAUAUUUUAGUACGAAAGGACCAGAUAUUUAUUAAAUGUUAAUUG